AAGAAAGUUAUAAAGUGGCGUGUGCUUCAUUGGUCAGUUUUCUCGUUGCAAGAGGAAGCAACCGUCCAGGUCCAGGUCUGUGAUUCUGCGCUGAACUGGUCACACCAUCAGUCCAGCUGCUCCUCCUGCCUUGAGGUACAGCCUGUGAGCCCGCUGAUAGUUCUGCUUGCACAAAGGCACCAUCACAGCACACACAGACCAUUUACGCUCGGAUGCAUGCACAUACGAGCACAACAGAGCUGAAACCACUCUACAGCAUGAUGCACAUUCUCCCAGAAGUCUAAGCAGCCCACAGUGUCCCAAAGUUCCCAGGACUGCAGAUGUAUUGUGACAGACUUUAAAUGUGAGGAAGAGGAGCCCUCAUCACCCAUCACCUCUGCCGGAUGAAAGGCCCCGAAAGCAGGCAGCCACCCUGCUGGACACAGCUCAGCUGUUAUACCAUGUGUUUGACAGGAGUGGCAGACCUCCCAUGGCUCCUUCCCUGUCUAGCUGCCUGGAGUGAGCGCCGCACAGGUGACACAAGGCGGCAUGACUAGCCUACCACUCAUCCAUCAGACUGUAUGAAGCAGCAGGAGUGAACUAACAGUGCUAAAUUUGGGGCAAUAUCAUUCAGUACAAGCAGUCUGCUCAAAUUCAGAGGAAUAUGAAGGCUUUUAGUGUGAUUGCACUGUCUCCCUCAGAAAUCAUGUUUUGUUAACAGUGUCUCAAUUUACCAGCCAAGGUGUCUACUUCUCCCACUUGUCAAUAUCUGUUUAUCUGCAUGCUAAUGUCUGAAACAAACUGUGUAAUAGCCUGUUGUGCUCGAGUGGGAGUAAUGUAGAGGGUAAUGACUCCUCUUUGACAUUUGCCCUCUGCAAUUCUGACCUCAUCCACCUCGCCACGGUUUCCUGCUGCAGGCCCUGUAGCUCUGUAUGAUGUCUGCUCACGCAAACACCGCUGCUCUGCGCGCACAGGCAUGCACAAUCACACAAACAAACACACAUACACACACACACACACACACACACACACACACACACACCGUCUUGCUGAAAUUAGAGUCAUAUGGUGUUCGCUUACUGCCUCCUACGAUUCUAACCAAUAAGGUCAUUUGGUAGAUGAACAAGAGAACAAAUACUUCCAUUUCUGCAAGUUUGCUUGUCUUAAAUGUUCUCCAAAACACUGUCGAACAGCAGCUUGAAUCUGUUUGAUACUGUUAUUUCACAGGGAUCUCAUCUCUCUCCAUUUGCAUCUUGUUUUUCUUUCAGAAUCCUAGUCUUUGAUUUUCUACAUGUAUGAUAAAUGUAGUGUGAAGUAGGUGAGUGUUAGGUGCUGGAUGUUCUUGUAGAUGAUGCAAUGGCUCUACAGAGUAUAAAAAUGGUGUAACAAUCGGUAGCUGUAAAAAUAAACUCUGUACAUUUGAA